rnacentral:ncRNA from 1 species
AGCGCGGCAGCCGAAAAGCGUUUAACAGAGUAGGCG